rnacentral:rRNA from 1 species
UGGGGAAUAUUGCACAAUGGGCGCAAGCCUGAUGCAGCAACGCCGCGUGAACGAUGAAGGUCUUCGGAUCGUAAAGUUCUGUUGCAGGGGAAGAUAAUGACGGUACCCUGUGAGGAAGCCCCGGCUAACUACGUGCCAGCAGCCGCGGUAAUACGUAGGGGGCUAGCGUUAUCCGGAUUUAUUGGGCGUAAAGGGUACGUAGGCGGUCUAUUAAGUCAGGUGUGAAAGCGUGAGGCUUAACCUCAUUAAGCACUUGAAACUGAUAGACUUGAGUGAAGGAGAGGAAAGUGGAAUUCCUAGUGUAGCGGUGAAAUGCGUAGAUAUUAGGAGGAAUACCGGUGGCGAAGGCGACUUUCUGGACUUUUACUGACGCUCAGGUACGAAAGCGUGGGGAGCAAACAGG